rnacentral:misc_RNA from 1 species
GUUUGUUUCAAGUUCAACCCUGAAUUUUUUUGUUUUUGACGCUUGGUAAGAGUUUGAAGGAAAAUGAUAAAGAGCUGCUUCAAGCUAGACUGCUAGAGGGUGAUUUUGGUAUAUUAAGAAUUUUUUUUUGGUUUGAUUUUCUGAUUGUAAAUAAUAUCGUGUCUGCAGAGAUUAGGAAGAAAUACCCAGAUAAAAUUCCGGUUGAUGUUAUGUUUUGGGGAUGAAUUGAAGUAUUUUAAUGCAACUAAGGUAAGAUGAAGAAAUGAUUGUAUAAUGUGGUACAUAUAUUUGUUUCAUGCUUGUUUUUUGCUAUGAGGAGAAACUGCCUCAAUUUAAGUAGAUUUUGCAAGUCACCUUUAACAAAUGCUGCCUGGGCCUUUAAUGGAAUGCUUAGUUCUUAUUUUUAUCUUUUCUGGAGGAAAUUUCCUGCCUGAACUAAUCAGAAUGAAACGUUUUGUUAUCAUAUGUUUAGUCAACAAAAGCCUGUUGAAAAGAUCUUUGUUGAUAGGAUUCACUAGUCUUGUAUUUCGGGGUUGUAAUAAUGUAAGCUGGGUUAUUAAUUUAUCCACCUUCCCCUCCGAAGAGAAGAAGAAAGAAAAACAGUAACUUUGGGUGAAGAUAACCACCAGCAAGCAGUUUUUGAUGUUGUAGCUAAGCCUAAUUCUUUUUGCUGUUAACGUUGUGCUUAAAUUGUUUGCUUGCUGGAUUGCUAAUGCUUGCUCAAGCUGCAUGUUGUUUACUGCUGCAAUUUUUCCCAUCAAUUUCUUGUAUAAUACCAUGAUAUCGUUUUUAAUCUUCCUGUGAUGGAUGUCAGCACUUGUCAUAUCUUCAUUUUGACAUUGGUUAAAUUUUACAGAUACCUAGUCCCAGCUGACCUGACUGUGGGUCAGUUUGU